GGGCUAUGAUAGUUUAAUAGAGAAUCAUUAUUCACAAAAAUAGCUGAGUUUAUUCAUUAAGCGAAAUAAAUAGAAAGGAUUUAAAAACACUGCUUUUAUCCCAACAGUCACAAAUCUCCUUUUCCGGUUUUCAUGCCGUCUAUUUGGUAAACUGAGACCUGAACAAAAAGUCCUAAUGAUGGAGGCUCGUCCAUUCAGCGUUUUAGACUAAAAAAUGAUGCUCUGAUUCACAUUUUAGGAUUAUUUUUUCUCAUCGGCCAUGAAAAUUACACGGAUUACACCAGAUUGAAAGUAAUAUUUGUCGACUUUCUCUCUCUGGCUUCUUUUUUUCCCCACAUUUGUCUGUUUUUUGCCUCCUAUUAUUUAUGUCUGUGCACUGUGUGCUCUUAAUCAUACACAACACCAAUGAAAAACCUGUUAUUCUUUGUUUUACCAUUAUCUACAUGCUUUAUUUACUUCAUGUCCAUGGAAUCAUUAAAACUGUUAAAUACACAUAUGAUACAUUGAAUUGCUCUUAAAAAUAAGUGUGAGUCUAUCUAUUCAUUAACACAUUUAAACUGGUGGUGUAACAACUUUUAGAUCUGAAUGAGUCAAUUGGUUGGAUGAAUAAUGACCUAGUAAAAUCCAGUAAGAGUACUUUAAUUGAGUACUGUAAUUAUGUGAUUUUUGAGUAUGUAAACUUAAAUAUUAUUUUUUCAGGUAAACUCAGGAUUCUACACCUGAACACCUGAGUCUUCAGGUUAUGUCCACUCAGCAACUGAUCAUCUGUGGAAAGUGAAACAGUGGCAUUUGGUGUAUUGUUACCUUCCAGGCACACCUUUAUUUUUAAAUUCCCAUCUCCCUCCAGAUUCAUGGAUUGACCUCAGCAUACCUGAGUUUCGUCCUGGACUUUCAGUCAGUGCUUGCAGAGAAAGCUCAUAAUGCAGCAUAGAAAGAGAAGGUGAAGAUGUAAAUUCCUCUCUGCUACUUAUAUCUGAUGUGUAGAAAUAAAUGAAUGGAGUUAAACCAACAGACUUUGUGAUAUCUGAAUCUUUAUCAGUUUGUUGCAUGAUUAUGUAACUGGAAAUUUACAUCUCUAAUCUCUAAUUUAUUUAUAUGUAGUUUUACAACAUUGUUAAAAUAAUCCAGUUUCUUUCAAAAUAAAUUAUAUUUUGUGGCUCCAUCCACUGAUUCAUAUAACUCAGGAGUCAAAGGCCGUCUUUAUUCUUGCUCUGCCUCAUAUUUCUCACUGAUGUUUUUGGAGAAGAGAGGGUUAAGGCAACAUGUAAAUCGUUGCAGGGAGAAUGUUUGAUCCCUGAAUCAUGAAGUAAUUUUAGAUUCUUAAUUGACAUAUACAGGCCUUUACUAAACCAUGUAUCACACUGUUAUAUUUUAUACCACUGACUAUACACAAGACUUUUCUAUUUUAAGCCCAUCACAGUUUACAUGACCCUGGGUCAAUGUGUUGAUACUGCAGAUACUUUCAUCUGCAAAUUGUCUUUACUGUCCUAAACAAGUCUGUAUUACAUGUCUUGACUUCUGACAGUAUGGCUUUUUUUGUUCUCGUGAGAAAAUGUCAUAAAAUAAAUCUUUAUCAGACUGUUCUUUGUGGCCGUGAUUCUCCGUCAUAACACACCACAAUUCUCUGCGGUGUCCGUAUUUGAACAAGAGGGUGGUGACACAUCGCCAAGUCUCUAUGCUGACAAGUUUUUCUGGAAGCAAUUAGGCAAUCCCAGGUGGCCCCGCCCUACAUCCUACUCUGUUUCCACUCUAGAUAGGAUCAUAAUUUGCCAAAUUAAUGUUGUGUUAAAGACGACUUCAAACGAGAAAUUCA
rnacentral:lncRNA from 1 species